rnacentral:rRNA from 1 species
CCACUGGAACGGUGGCUAAUACCGGAUGUGCCGAAAGGUGAAAGGCUUGCUGCCUGAAGAUGAGCUCGCGUCUGAUUAGCUAGUAGGUGGGGUAAGAGCCUACCUAGGCGACGAUCAGUAGCUGGUCUGAGAGGACGAUCAGCCACACUGGGACUGAGACACGGCCCAGACUCCUACGGGAGGCAGCAGUGGGGAAUUUUCCGCAAUGGGCGAAAGCCUGACGGAGCAAUACCGCGUGAGGGAGGAAGGCUCUUGGGUUGUAAACCUCUUUUCUCAGGGAAGAACACAAUGACGGUACCUGAGGAAUCAGCAUCGGCUAACUCCGUGCCAGCAGCCGCGGUAAUACGGAGGAUGCAAGCGUUAUCCGGAAUGAUUGGGCGUAAAGCGUCCGCAGGUGGCUGUGUAAGUCUGCUGUCAAAGAGCGAAGCUCAACUUCGUAAAGGCAGUGGAAACUACACGGCUAGAGUGCGUUCGGGGCAGAGGGAAUUCCUGGUGUAGCGGUGAAAUGCGUAGAGAUCAGGAAGAACACCGGUGGCGAAGGCGCUCUGCUAGGCCGCAACUGACACUGAGGGACGAAAGCUAGGGGAGCGAAAGGGAUUAGAUACCCCUGGUAGUCAC